rnacentral:tRNA from 1 species
GCCUCCGUGGUGUAAUGGUCAGCACACUGAGCCGGUAUUUCAGAGGUCCGUGGUUCGAUCCCCGGCGAAGGUG